ensembl:lncRNA
GAUACAGGCUGGAUCCAUCGGCCCGAGAUGUGGUGGGUGAAAAAACGUUUGCAUACAGUUAUAUGUGAACAGCAGGAACAUUAGAAGUGGCCAAAUCAACCAUUUGGCACAUUCUGAGGAAAAAAAGAAGGCACUGAUGAGCUCCUGCAACACAAAAUGGCCUGUACAUCCACGAAAGACAACAGAUUGUAGGAUCCUUUCCAUGGUAAAGAAAACCCCCUUCACAACAUCCAGCCAAGUGAAGAACCCUCUCCAGGAGAUAUCAGCAAAUCCCGGGAAGAACCACCGGUGCAGCCAAUGAUGAAUAUAUACCCAAGGACUCUGAUGGGGGACCGGAGGAGGAGCUUCAAGGCAGCCUGGUACCAUAUCCACCCCUGGCUUGAAUAUUCCAAACAAUCAGACUCUGUGUUUUGUUAUGCCUGCAGGCAUUUUAGCCUUCCCAAAGUCUCAGAGUCUGCAGAGUCAGAUAAUAAAGGGAACUUCAUGGCAAUUUAGAAACAAUAGCUAAGCAUGAUAAAACUGUGCAAAAAAGGUUGACUUCCAUUCAUAAUGCAAAAUAUACCAGCAAAGGGAUUCAGAAUGAGGUUCUGAGUUGUUUGGCAGACAUGGUUCGAACUAAAAUUAUAGAAGAAGUGAAAGACAGUGAGGUCUAUAGCAUAAUGGCAGAUGAAACAAAAGAUGUAAAAAAGAAGGAGCAGAUAUCUCUAGUACUCAGGUACUAUUUCAGUGGAGCUGUCCAUGAGAGCUUUCUCCACUUUGAAUCGCCUGAUCGACUAGAUGCAGCAGGGCUUACUGACAAAAUCAUACACAUAUUAGUAAGUCAUGGUCUUGAAUACAAAAACAACCUAGUAGGCCAAGCUUAUGACGGUGCUUCAGUUAUGAGCGGGACGCAUUCAGGUGUCCAGGCACGCAUUAAAGAACAAGCAAAGCAUGCUUUUUACAUCCACUGCAAUGCACACUGUCUGAAUUUAGUUUUAGUGGAUACAGUCAAAGCUAUCCCUGAGGUAAUAUAAUUAAAAUGCAAUUACAGUUACUGUGACAUACAGAAUAUGUAAUGCAAAAUAUAAAAAUGAUUAAAAUGCAAAUAGUUACUGUGACUGAUACUGAAUAUGUAAUGCAAAUGGAAAAAUAAAAUGGAAAUGCAAUUACAGUUACUGUGACUAAUACUGAAUAUGUAAUGCAAAUGUAAAAAAUUAAAUGGAAAUGCAA